AUUUUCCGCUUAUGUGUUGGAAGUAUUUGUAAUUCUUUACCUAGUUGCGUCUUGUGUUUUUUAUGCUUUAUUAGAAGAAAAAGAUCGUUCACUAUGCCAAGCUGCCUGGAGUUUCCACAUAUGAAUUAUGGAGAAAGAUAAGAUUUGAUAAAUAAAUUAUUAUAAUGAAUUUAACAUCUAGAAAAAGUGUAACGCAUAGACACUUUCGCUCCUGUGGACACGACAAAUUCAAAUUCGUCAAAACAGGAAAGACGCAGUACAUCACAUCCAGGAAAGUGGUCUUGGCCAGUGGCGUCACGAGGGAGGUGGUGUGGAAAGUUGCAGACUGCACCGAGUGACGCGCUCAGGCCUCAAGCCACUGGAGGAGCAAGCACAUAAAGAAGCGUGCUCUUCACCUUACCUCCAGGCGUAGGCGACCAGACACUGAGGAUCUUUGUGUAGCCUGGGCGUAGGGCAUGUGGCACUGACGGCAUCCCUAUGGCAUGUGAAGAGGAGGGAAAAUAUAGUGACAUGUUCCCUUGAUCUCUCUCGCCUCACAUACUAAAAAAAAGCCCUCUGCUUCCA